AGUCUCUUCCAGCGGCACUAUGAUCUUCUGGCUCUGGGAUUUUCACUUUUCCCCCAGAAAGGAUGUGAUGUGGUUUUUUGUUGUUCUAUAAAUUUUUUUCUCCCAAGUUUCAUGACUUCAAAGUAAAUUUCCAAGUUUGUCAAGAAUGCUAUCCCAUUCUUGUCUAGGGGACCAGAGAGCUGAUGAAAAGAAGUUUGUCUGUUGCCCAGGAUCCUACACUCUUGCCUGUGAAGUGUUAAGAAGCAUAAACUUUUGUAAAGAACUGCUAGUUUUUCAGGUUUUUCGUUGGAAUAUACGUUGCACAUUUAUGGCGAUUCUGAGUGUGAGGGCAGAUUUCUGCCAGGCUCAGCACAGCGUUUUCGCUGACAAGUGAGCUUGGAGGUUCUAUGUGCCAUAAUUAACAUUGCCUUGAAGACUCCUGGACACCGAGACUGGCCUCAGAAAUAGUUGGCUUUUUUUUUUUUUUUAAAUUGCAAGCAUAUUUCUUUUAAUGACUCCAGUAAAAUUAAG